rnacentral:rRNA from 1 species
GAUGAACGCUGGCGGCGUGCCUAAUACAUGCAAGUCGAACGCACAGCGAAAGGUGCUUGCACCUCUCAAGUGAGUGGCGAACGGGUGAGUAACACGUGGACAACCUGCCUCAAGGCUGGGGAUAACAUUUGGAAACAGAUGCUAAUACCGAAUAAAACUCAGUGUCGCAUGACACAAAGUUAAAAGGCGCUUUGGCGCCACCUAGAGAUGGAUCCGCGGUGCAUUAGUUAGUUGGUGGGGUAAAGGCCUACCAAGACAAUGAUGCAUAGCCGAGUUGAGAGACUGAUCGGCCACAUUGGGACUGAGAAACGGCCCAAACUCCUACGGGAGGCUGCAGUAGGGAAUCUUCCACAAUGGGCGAAAGCCUGACGGAGCAACGCCGCGUGUGUGAUGAAGGCUUUCGGGUCGUAAAGCACUGUUGUAUGGGAAGAACAGCUAGAAUAGGGAAUGAUUUUAGUUUGACGGUACCAUACCAGAAAGGGACGGCUAAAUACGUGCCAGCAGCCGCGGUAA